rfam:Gallibacterium anatis TMN179, complete genome.
UUUUUUAGCAUACUCCGAGCUAGUUUACCUAAGUCGUAAGAUAUGGUGGCUAUGCCAACACAAUGUGUUCAAGGAUAGAUGGGAAACGAUCUAUCCUCUCGUAUUUAGAAAGGUGUCUAUGCAACAGCUUA